AUUGAACGCUGGCGGCAUGCCUUACACAUGCAAGUCGAACGGCAGCACGGGUGCUUGCACCUGGUGGCGAGUGGCGAACGGGUGAGUAAUACAUCGGAACGUACCUUAUCGUGGGGGAUAACGCAGCGAAAGCUGUGCUAAUACCGCAUACGCCCUGAGGGGGAAAGCGGGGGAUCGCAAGACCUCGCGCGAUUAGAGCGGCCGAUGCCUGAUUAGCUUGUUGGUGGGGUAAAAGCCCACCAAGGCGACGAUCAGUAGCUGGUCUGAGAGGACGAUCAGCCACACUGGGACUGGGACACGGCCCAGACUCCUACGGGAGGCAGCAGUGGGGAAGUUUGGACAAUGGGGGCAACCCUGAUCCAGCCAUUCCGCGUGAGUGAAGAAGGCCUUCGGGUUGUAAAGCUCUUUUGUCCGGAGCGAAACGGUUACGGUGAAUAUCCGUGACUACUGACGGUACCGGAAGAAUAAGCACCGGCUAACUACGUGCCAGCCGCCGCCGUAA
rnacentral:rRNA from 1 species